CCGUGCUAGAUGGGGAGGUAGCGGUUCCCUGUAACCCGCAGUCCGCUGCAGCGGGAUCGAAUUCCUUUGUGAGGGCCUAAUUGUCGGAGCAGUCUGUGCAUCUGAAGUGAUGACAUUCUGGUCUUGCGCAACGGAAUGCUUUGAACCGUGUCAGGUCCUGACGGAAGCAGCACUAAGGAGAUUUUUCCGUGUGCCGCAAGGUUGCCGGAAGGGAACUUCGGUUUACAGGUAACGUCCGGUGGUUAUGGUUCGGGCAAAGGUGCACGG
rnacentral:SRP_RNA from 1 species